GACAGAGGUCCCGAGCGUUAGGCGGAAUCACUGGGCUUAAAGCGUGUGUAGGCGGAUUUGUAAGUACCUUGUGAAAUCCCACGGCUCACCCGUGGAACUGCUGGGCAUACUGGCGAUCUUGGGCCAACUAGGGGCAGCCGGAACAAGCGGUGGAGCGGUGAAAUGCGUAGAUAUCGCUUGGAACGCCGAAGGUGAAAACAGGCUGCUGGGGUUGCGCCGACGCUGAGACACGAAAGCCAGGGGAGCAAACGGG
rnacentral:rRNA from 1 species